UAAGAUUCACCCACAAGGAAAACAAAUUAGCGAGAUGUUUCUUGCACAAAAACCUUUUAUUCUGCCGUGUCAAAAAUAGCCCUACUGAUAUAAUCAGUGCCGACUGAGAAUGUGUGUUUCCUGUUCUGUCCCUAUUAGUGUUUUCCAGAACGAUGGCUCCGAGAACAGAGAGAAGCGGGAGAGCAACAGACCGUCCAAACGCAUCCUGGAGAGGCUGAGCCCAGUGUCGGAGCGGGCAGAAGAAUAGAGCGCGGAGGGAAGCUAAGCCGGGUCUACAACAGCUAAUCUGAGGACCACACAGACGAGGAGCAGGUCAUUGUGUGUGAAGAGGCCAGCUGGGAGGUGGACGGUCCUCGGGCCCGGGGUCGACCUAAAGGGCAGGGUUAUCAGCUUAUCUCACCGUGAGGAAGAUCCGAUGAUCCAGUCGCCCAUAUUCUGGAUCUGCAUAGCCAUUAAAGUCUGAGACAAAGAGUGAAUUCAUAAGAGCGGCAGUGGGAAAGAAGAGAGAGUGGCUGAACAGAGGAAUGAGAGAUAGAGAGAGAAGUAUAAUGUUACUUCCAGCUGUCCUCCGUCAUCCAUGCUUUCUCUGGGACGUAUGGCCACGAGUUAAAGCCAAGCAUCCGGUGUAUGUCAGACCCGUGAGCUUCUGCACAGGACUCAAAUAAGGUCGACGACCUCUUGCACAAGGGGCCGGUCCAUCAUCCUAUGGCAACUUUCAGAAUGAGCUCAGCUGAGAAAACACAGAUGCAGCCGAUGCUGUAAUAGACAAGAAUAUUUACAUCAAUUCUGUCUGUGCUGACAGGAACUAUGUGGCAACUCAAGA